UUUAUGGAGAGUUUGAUCCUGGCUCAGGAUGAACGCUGGCGGCGUGCCUAAUACAUGCAAGUCGAGCGAACGGACGAGAAGCUUGCUUCUCUGAUGUUAGCGGCGGACGGGUGAGUAACACGUGGAUAACCUACCUAUAAGACUGGGAUAACUUCGGGAAACCGGAGCUAAUACCGGAUAAUAUUUUGAACCGCAUGGUUCAAAAGUGAAAGACGGUCUUGCUGUCACUUAUAGAUGGAUCCGCGCUGCAUUAGCUAGUUGGUAAGGUAACGGCUUACCAAGGCAACGAUGCAUAGCCGACCUGAGAGGGUGAUCGGCCACACUGGAACUGAGACACGGUCCAGACUCCUACGGGAGGCAGCAGUAGGGAAUCUUCCGCAAUGGGCGAAAGCCUGACGGAGCAACGCCGCGUGAGUGAUGAAGGUCUUCGGAUCGUAAAACUCUGUUAUUAGGGAAGAACAUAUGUGUAAGUAACUGUGCACAUCUUGACGGUACCUAAUCAGAAAGCCACGGCUAACUACGUGCCAGCAGCCGCGGUAAUACGUAGGUGGCAAGCGUUAUCCGGAAUUAUUGGGCGUAAAGCGCGCGUAGGCGGUUUUUUAAGUCUGAUGUGAAAGCCCACGGCUCAACCGUGGAGGGUCAUUGGAAACUGGAAAACUUGAGUGCAGAAGAGGAAAGUGGAAUUCCAUGUGUAGCGGUGAAAUGCGCAGAGAUAUGGAGGAACACCAGUGGCGAAGGCGACUUUCUGGUCUGUAACUGACGCUGAUGUGCGAAAGCGUGGGGAUCAAACAGGAUUAGAUACCCUGGUAGUCCACGCCGUAAACGAUGAGUGCUAAGUGUUAGGGGGUUUCCGCCCCUUAGUGCUGCAGCUAACGCAUUAAGCACUCCGCCUGGGGAGUACGACCGCAAGGUUGAAACUCAAAGGAAUUGACGGGGACCCGCACAAGCGGUGGAGCAUGUGGUUUAAUUCGAAGCAACGCGAAGAACCUUACCAAAUCUUGACAUCCUUUGACAACUCUAGAGAUAGAGCUUUCCCCUUCGGGGGACAAAGUGACAGGUGGUGCAUGGUUGUCGUCAGCUCGUGUCGUGAGAUGUUGGGUUAAGUCCCGCAACGAGCGCAACCCUUAAGCUUAGUUGCCAUCA
rnacentral:rRNA from 1 species